GGAGAGGUGGCUGAGUGGUCGAAGGCACCGCACUCGAAAUGCGGCGUGGGGGAAACCUCACCGUGAGUUCGAAUCUCACCCUCUCCG
rnacentral:tRNA from 2 species